CCUACGGGAGGCAGCAGUGGGGAAUAUUGCACAAUGGGGGAAACCCUGAUGCAGCGACGCCGCGUGAAGGAAGAAGUAUUUCGGUAUGUAAACUUCUAUCAGCAGGGAAGAAAAUGACGGUACCUGACUAAGAAGCCCCGGCUAACUACGUGCCAGCAGCCGCGGUAAUACGUAGGGGGCAAGCGUUAUCCGGAUUUACUGGGUGUAAAGGGAGCGUAGGCGGCGAUGCAAGUCAGAAGUGAAAGCCCGGGGCUCAACUCCGGGACUGCUUUUGAAACUGUAUGGCUAGAUUGCAGGAGAGGCAAGUGGAAUUCCUAGUGUAGCGGUGAAAUGCAUAGAUAUCACGCAGAACUCCGAUUGCGAAGGCAGCAUACCGGCGCUCAACUGACGCUCAUGCACGAAAGUGUGGGUAUCGAACAGGAUUAGAUACCCCAGUAGUC
rnacentral:rRNA from 1 species